rnacentral:lncRNA from 1 species
AUAUUUUCCUCUCUUUCCUUCUUCUCUCUCUCUCUCUGUUUACAUAGUUGUAGUUAUACUGUAUACAUUACUUUGUACUCUACUUUAUUUCACUUAACAUGACAACAUAAGCAUUUACCCACAUCAUUAAAACUCCCUGGUACCGAGAGCCCAGGUCUAUUUUUAUAGAGAAGCUUAAGUGAUUCUCAGUGGGCUCUGCUACCCAGCCUUAAUCACACAAAGACAAGUUAUCAGGUUCUCUCCAAAGUCCUGGCCUGCCGCUUGCCUACUGAGCAGGAAGCAGAACUAAGGCUGUCAUGGAGAGGAAGGACAGGCCAAAUACUGUUUGGCUGCCUGCUCCCUCCCACGAGCCAGCCUGCAGCCUGCUAAGUAAGGGGCCCUGCUGAUCCAGAAUUCUUUCUUGCAGAAACACAUACUGGCUUUGAACCAAGGAGGCAGGCUCACUGCUGCAGCAGCCCCAGGGGAAAAAUCCAGACACAGAAUAAAAAAGUAAACUAUGCCAGUGACUGUAUGGCAGUAUAGCAGGAUUGCUCAUCUUAAUUUCCAGAAAAGCGUCAUCCUAACUCACAGGCAAGACAAAGGCUGCCCAGCAGCCUUUACCCCUACUUUCCACACGGUGAGUGCACUGGAGGUUUCAAAAAGCCUGCGGACUAAGACCAGGAGAACAGCAGACACAGCCCACUGGGAAGCCCAUGAUGUUGACCCCAGAGUGGACUUGUGGACUCGUCAACUCGGGCCAGGCUCCUGGCUCGCAGGCAGAAGGGACUUGCCUUGUCUCAAAUGAGACUUUGGACUGUGGACUUUUGGAUUAAUGCUAAAGGAAACCCUGUCAGCACCAACACACUCACUAAGAUCUGUAACACGCAUCAGCCUAGGUUCAGCAUCUGCCAGGAGUCACCACAGCAGAUGCAACACACUGUAAGUAACCUUUGAACUUUAU